rnacentral:piRNA from 1 species
UGACAAUGGUUUAUGAACGGU